AUACGGAGGGUGCAAGCGUUAAUCGGAAUUACUGGGCGUAAAGCGCGCGUAGGCGGCUUUGUAAGUCGGAUGUGAAAGCCCUGGGCUCAACCUGGGAAUGGCAUUCGAUACUGCAUAACUAGAGUAUGGUAGAGGGAAGUGGAAUUUCCGGUGUAGCGGUGAAAUGCGUAGAUAUCGGAAGGAACACCAGUGGCGAAGGCGACUUCCUGGGCCAAUACUGACGCUGAGGUGCGAAAGCGUGGGGAGCAAACAGGAUUAGAAACCCCAGUAGUCC
rnacentral:rRNA from 1 species